rnacentral:sRNA from 1 species
GUAUGUCAUUAAUAAUGACGCCUUAAAACGGGGCGUUGCCUAUGGCGAAGAAAUAUCUGGACUGAUAGUCCCUUUGUCUGGCAGUGACAUCGUUAAUAGGAUCAAGCAUGCCUUAGGGCAGUUUUUCAAAGUGAAGGAAAGCGUAAUGAGCAAGAAAAACGGUCAGGUCAAAUGGUUUAACGAAAGCAAGGGAUUUGGUUUCAUCACGCCCGCAGAUGGUUCCAAAGAUGUCUUCGUCCAUUUUUCUGCCAUCCAGAGCGAUGGGUUCAAGACCCUGGCAGAAGGUCAGCAGGUCGAGUUCUCUAUCCAGGACUCCCCGCGUGGCCCGGCCGCCGCUGAUGUGAUUGCGCUGUAAGCAAAUCGCGCUAUCGCAGUUGACAAAACCCGCCAUUGGCGGGUUUUUCUGU